UACAGAGGGUGCGAGCGUUAAUCGGAAUUACUGGGCGUAAAGCGCGCGUAGGCGGCUUUUCAAGUCGAUUGUGAAAUCCCCGGGCUUAACCUGGGAACUGCAGUCGAGACUGUCUAGCUAGAGUAUGGGAGAGGGAAGUGGAAUUUCAGGUGUAGCGGUGAAAUGCGUAGAUAUGACAUAGAACACCAAUUGCGAAGGCAGCUGGCUACACGAAUAUUGACACUGAUGCACGAAAGCGUGGGGAUCAAACAGG
rnacentral:rRNA from 1 species